AGAGUUUGAUCCUGGCUCAGGACGAACGCUGGCGGCGCGCCUAACACAUGCAAGUCGAACGAGAGAAGAAGAGCUUGCUUUUCUGAUCGAGUGGCGAACGGGUGAGUAACGCGUGAGGAACCUGCCUCAAAGAGGGGGACAACAGUUGGAAACGACUGCUAAUACCGCAUAAGCCCACGGCUCGGCAUCGAGCAGAGGGAAAAGGAGCAAUCCGCUUUGAGAUGGCCUCGCGUCCGAUUAGCUAGUUGGUGAGGUAAUGGCCCACCAAGGCGACGAUCGGUAGCCGGACUGAGAGGUUGAACGGCCACAUUGGGACUGAGACACGGCCCAGACUCCUACGGGAGGCAGCAGUGGGGAAUAUUGCACAAUGGGGGAAACCCUGAUGCAGCGACGCCGCGUGGAGGAAGAAGGUCUUCGGAUUGUAAACUCCUGUUGUUGAGGAAGAUAAUGACGGUACUCAACAAGGAAGUGACGGCUAACUACGUGCCAGCAGCCGCGGUAAAACGUAGGUCACAAGCGUUGUCCGGAAUUACUGGGUGUAAAGGGAGCGCAGGCGGGAGAACAAGUUGGAAGUGAAAUCCAUGGGCUCAACCCAUGAACUGCUUUCAAAACUGUUUUUCUUGAGUAGUGCAGAGGUAGGCGGAAUUCCCGGUGUAGCGGUGGAAUGCGUAGAUAUCGGGAGGAACACCAGUGGCGAAGGCGGCCUACUGGGCACCAACUGACGCUGAGGCUCGAAAGUGUGGGUAGCAAACAGGAUUAGAUACCCUGGUAGUCCACACCGUAAACGAUGAUUACUAGGUGUUGGAGGAUUGACCCCUUCAGUGCCGCAGUUAACACAAUAAGUAAUCCACCUGGGGAGUACGACCGCAAGGUUGAAACUCAAAGGAAUUGACGGGGGCCCGCAC
rnacentral:rRNA from 1 species